CAAUAGCGUAUAUUAAAGUUGUUGCAGUUAAAAAGCUCGUAGUUGGAUUUCUGGUGGGAGCGAUCGGUCUGGCGCUUAGCGCGAGUACUUGCAUCGUCUCCGGCCAUCCUUGGGGAGAGUCUGUCUGGCAUUAGGUUGUCGGGCAGAGGAUCCUCAUCGUUUACUGUGAAAAAAUUAGAGUGUUCAAAGCAGGCUUAUGCCGUUGAAUAUAUUAGCAUGGAAUAAUAAGAUAGGACUUUGGUACUAUUUUGUUGGUUUGCGCACCAAAGUAAUGAUUAAUAGGGACAGUUGAGGGUAUUCGUAUUCCGUUGUCAGAGGUGAAAUUCUUGGAUUUACGGAAGACGAACUACUGCGAAAGCAUUUACCAAGGAUGUUUUCAUUAA
rnacentral:rRNA from 1 species